ensembl:lncRNA
GGCGAGGAUGUGGUAUUUAGAAUAAGAGAUUUCCACAUGCUGGGUGGAUAGAGGGGCAGGAAUGACUAAAGCAGCAGCAAGAGGCCAACGAAGUCAGAGAGCAGGGAUAGGUGGCCCGAAGAUCUGGUGAGUGAAGUUCACAGAGCUGAGCCCCGGGAAGAAUGCCAGGCUCCUGGUUAGGGCGUUGUAGUCUCUGCCUUCCCUGACCGUGGAAGACACCUUGGAAGAAGCUCCUGGGCACUGUCUCCCUGGGAGGUGGGCGGGACUGCUGGCCAAAGGUCAGGGCAGAGGCAGCUCCACUGAGGAAAUGGAGAAGGACCAGCGUGGAGGGGAAGGAACUGGGAGGAGCAGCCAGCUGUCCCCUUCUCCAGGCUGCUGGGCAUAGAGCUGGACCCACGAGCAGCCCUGAGGACCAGCUGCCCCACGGGCGAGGGGGGAGCAAGACAGGCUGCACCUGCAUGCGGAGCCUUGGGGAAGGAGAGAAAAUUGAGACACUGAUGGAGGUUAGUAAAGCAAACAGUGACUGAGUUUGCAUCUCUCUUUUUUUUUUUUUUUGGUCUUUUUAGGUUGCACCUGUGGCAUAUGGAGGUUCCCAGGCUCGGGGUUGGAUCAGAGCUGUAUCUGCCAGCCUACACCACAGCUAUGGCAACACCAGAUCAGAGCCGCAUCCAUGACCCACACUACAGUUUGUGGCAACACUGGAUCCUUAACCCACUGAGUGAGGUCAGGGAUCGAACCUGAAUCCUCAUGGAUCCCAGUCAAGUUCUUUACCUGCUGAGACACAACAGGAACUCCGCUAAUGAUAAAUCUUAUCAAAAGGAAGACAAGAAUCCUCAAGGAGUUAUUUCAAUGUGGUCAGCAAGGAACACCCUACAGCUGUGAAAAGUGUGCAACCGCGCACCAUCCCAGGUAACAAAUAGCUUUCUGAAGUCAGAGACUAUCUCCUGGAUUGAGUCAUAGAGGAAGGAAUCCUGACUCAAUUAGCUGCUGUUUUGAAUUCACAUGUUUCCAGCCCUGGAACAGCCGCCAGGGACGGUGCAGAAGGAGCUGGGCGGAUCCUGGGAGGGGAUGGGCAGGGCCCUGCACCCAGCUCUGAAAGCCUGCAUUUGACUCCUCACCUGCAACAGGACGUGGCCCCUUGUCCUCUGAGCAAAUCGGGGGCACGGCGGCGCUCGGCUCACACCUGCCAGCUCUGAGGAAGCCACGCUCCUGCUCAGUGGCAGGAAGGGGUAGGGUCUUGGACUGCUGGACUGUAAACCCCUCUCUUCCUGUGCUAGAGACCCAGCUCCUCCAGUGCCUGCUAGAUAUUUGAGCAAAUGGUGGUAGCUUUCUGUCUCCUCUCUCCUUCCUGCUCCCUCUGUGCCCUCCCUGUCACCGUCCAGGGGUACCUUCCUCCGAAAAGCCGCAUUAACAGGAGACACCGUUUUCCCAUUUCCAAAGGUUGAUGCAAGGAACCGAGGCAACCCUCCCCUCCAUCAAACCGCCUGGGCCCACCAUCUAUAGAGGGUGACUGCCUUUCUGCACGCGCCAGGGAGGCUGGACUCAGCAGAGCUUCCUGGCUCUCAGGUGAGGGGAACCUGAAACUUCUGAACAACCUGAGGAAGAAUGUGGUAGAAAUACCCCCUCUGAGCAUUCCAGGGUGGAAACCAACCAGAGCGUGUGUGUGUGUAUGUGUGUGUGUGUGUGUGUGUGUGUGUGUGUGUGUGUGUGUGGCGGGGGGGGGGGUGUUAUCAUUCCCAGUAGUCUAAAAAAUGAGAGGAAUGCCAGCACUGGGGAGAUAGGUACUUAGGCAUCAGGUAAUAAAGGGACUGAGGAAGGGGGCUGUGGGAGAGCC